AACGCACCUUGCGCCACGUGGUAUUCCACGGGGCACGCCUGUUUGAGUGUCACGUAAACCCAUCGCGUCUCGGAUUGUCAUGAUCUGAGGGGCGGAUUUGGACGCUGCCGUAGUGGCUCGUCUCGAAAUGCAUUAGCCAGUCCGAGGACGCGCGCCGUUGGUGUGAUAAUUCACUUUGCGCCGCUGGUCGUGUCUGACGAAGGCUCACAAUCGCCCGCAAGGGCAACAUUUAAUGCUCUGGCCUCAAAUCAGGUGGGACUACCCGCUGAACUUAA
rnacentral:misc_RNA from 1 species